rnacentral:sRNA from 1 species
AGAGGUAGAUGUUGAAAAUGGAUCUAUUCGGCAGACAUUUUUGAGGUCUUCUUUAUGCCAGUUACCAUGUUGGGCACUUGGUAGAGGGAAUGAAGUGCGAUCUAUUGGGCUUCCUGAUGUCCAUUCAGGAUAUGGGUUUGCUAUUGGGAACAUGGCAGCCUUUGAUAUGAAUGACCCUGAAGCAGUAGUAUCCCCAGGUGGUGUCGGGUUUGACAUCAACUGUGGUGUCCGCUUGCUAAGAACCAAUUUAGAUGAAAGUGAUGUCCAGCCUGUGAAGGAGCAACUUGCCCAAGCUAUGUUUGACCACAUUCCUGUUGGGGUGGGGUCAAAAGGUGUCAUCCCAAUGAAUGCCAAAGACUUAGAGGAGGCCUUGGAGAUGGGAGUGGACUGGUCCUUAAGAGAAGGGUAUGCCUGGGCUGAAGACAAGGAGCACUGCGAGGAGUAUGGAAGAAUGCUGCAAGCUGACCCCAAUAAGGUUUCUGCAAGGGCGAAGAAAAGAGGUCUUCCUCAGUUGGGGACCCUGGGAGCAGGCAACCAUUAUGCAGAAAUCCAGGUUGUGGAUGA